GGGUUGUGAGGUUAAGCGACUAAGCGUACACGGUGGAUGCCCUGGCAGUCAGAGGCGAUGAAGGACGUGCUAAUCUGCGAUAAGCGUCGGUAAGGUGAUAUGAACCGUUAUAACCGGCGAUUUCCGAAUGGGGAAACCCAGUGUGAUUCGUCACACUAUCAUUAACUGAAUCCAUAGGUUAAUGAGGCGAACCGGGGGAACUGAAACAUCUAAGUACCCCGAGGAAAAGAAAUCAAC
rnacentral:rRNA from 2 species